rnacentral:pre_miRNA from 1 species
UCUCAUGGAUGGGCAAAGAAAGUGGUUUCGUGAGAUGGAGUCUACUCCUGGUGAAGAUGCUGUGAA